UGCACUGCCAAACCUGAAGAGGAUGUCUCGUAUGAGCAGGAGUGCAUGGAUAAGAGAACAAUGUGAUUUGGGGCAGACAAAAGGCUUGAAAUCUGAGCUUACCAAAGUAUCCAGGCAGCAGCUGCAGCAAACACUUCCCGGGCAGAGCCUGUUAAAGGAGAAGGAUCUGCAUUCACCCAGCUCUCCCAGAUGCCAUCACAGCAAGGAGAAUGAAGAUCUUUUGCUCUGCACGACUCUCUGACAGGAGGGGGCAGCCAGGGAGGAAUGGACACUCCUGAAGAGCUCUUCGGACUCUGCUGCCUGCAGAGAGGAUCUGCAUGACCACAUGAGGGGAGUCCACCAUGAAGGUGCUCUAUUUCCAGGAUACAUGUGACAGACACUCAACCCCAGCCUUGCUCAGGAAAUUGCCUUGCAUCUAGAAGGGAAAAAAGCCUCACCAACUUGCCGCCUCCAUAAAUCAGCCAUCUGAAGAAUGUAAACUGGUGCAGCGUGGCUCUAUCAGCACUUACAGCUCCGAGUGCUUCUCAGAGGUUUACACAACGUGAACUAUUUUCAUCUCUCCUAAAAUAAAUCUCGUGCUAUUAAUUAACAAACUUUCCAGGAAACAUGACAAAAACCCACCCGUCAGUGCUGACCUCCGGGGCUCAGUUAUAGAGCUCAUAAAAAGGAGAAGUUUCCCUGGCGGAUGAAAGGAGCUGGAGAGCUGAGUUUAUCUGUGGGUGUUUGGGGAAGAAGGUCACCCGCGGCACAUUGCGAUGCCGCUGCAAUGCGAGAAGGUGUUUUGGAAAGGGUUUGACAGAUGAUGGGGGGAAGCCAGGAGGAGACCAACGCAGUCCUCUCCUUCCUGGCCUUCACAGGCUCCAAGGACAUAACCCAGAAUCAGCCUGAGAGAGCAGCAGAACUGCUGAACCCAACAGGGCAUGGAAAGAUACUACACCAUUUGUAAGACUUCAUUAACCACCUGUGUUUUCAGCUCUGUGGCGCUGGCUGCGGGAGCAGAGGCUCCUCUCCAAGUGCCGAAGAAAUUUUUGCUUAUGUUUUCCCAUUCUCACAUUUCUCUUAACUCCUGGAUGUAUAUAACACUGCUGCUGAACCAACCCUGGGGCCAAGAAUGCCCCACCACACCGUGCUUCUCUCAACUCCAUCAAAGUUUGCACAGAGGGUCCAUCAGGAGGAACACCGUCUCCCUCAUGCACUUGGACUGGCAAAAACCCCAGUAAUUCUUGAAAAUUUCAGGAGUCUGGAACACAAGCAAGAGGGGAGGCAAAUGGGGAAUGGCUUCCCCCUGCCAGAGGGCAAGGAUAAAUGGGAUAUUGGGAAGGAACUGCUCCCUGUGAGGGUGGGCAGGCCCUGGCACAGGGUGCCCAGAGCAGCUGUG